CAACAAGAAUAGACCAGCAGCGGGGGGGAGUUAGGGAGGGCCCAGGGAACAAAAUGACAAAACAGAGCUUUCCCACAUUUUCUACAUCGUGGCACACCAAUACAUCAUCGUCACCAGCGGAAGUGGGAGGCUCUUCAUAGAUUGAAAAGGGAAACUUCUUCCUGUGAGCAGUCCGUUCAUUUCUCUCCCAGACACAAGGCUGAAAUUUUAGUAUUACAGGAAUUUAAUCAGAUGCUCUCUCUCAGUUACUCAUGUUGGAAUUAGUGACCAGCUUAAACCCCAACGGCUUUUUCACAUUAACUGAUGUCAAGCCAGGUCAAGUUUUCCAGAAGGAGACCCCAAGACAAGGACUCACCUACAAGUGAUGUACUAAGGAGGUACACCCAGAAAAAACAAGUGAGGAAGGAUGAUGAAGCAAGAUAGAGAAGGGGGUCUUCUAGGAUGCCAGCCAAAUGGACAACGCCAGAGUGAAGACCCAGGAGAUGAAAUCGGAUCAAGUGGGAAGAGUAGCAUAAGGAAUCUAAAGUGGAACAAGGCUUUGUUCAUCUGCAAGCGUGAUUUCCAUUACCUACAUCCUUGUGAAUAUGCAACAGACCACAGGAAAUUCAGCCAAUCAGGACCCAGCAGUGCCCUGACCCGUGGCUGGUCACGCAUGGAGCUGUUCACUGAAACUCUUAUCAGAUCUCAACAAGCAAACUGCACCGGUGAUGGAUAUGACACUUAAUAAGCAACAUCGAUAAACUGAAAAUAUGAAUUUCCUGCUGUUAGUGACUGUGGCAGAGACCACUAAUUGUCUACUAUGGCAACAGCUAACUAUGCAUCAAAAACGUGUCCUCCCCGCAGGGGCUUCUGCGUUGCCAGUUAUGUUCUGUUUCCGGAGCUGGAGCUGGUCACACAGGUGUACUAAGUUUGUGAAAAUGCAUUGGGCAGUACAUUUAUGACAUAUGCACUUUUCUGACUGUAUACUAUACUCUAAUAAAAAGUUUCCAGAAAACAAUUAUUCAGUCUACUGAGGAUAGAUAAAUAAAAAAAUAGACUGUGA
rnacentral:lncRNA from 1 species